CCUACGGGUGGCAGCAGUGGGGAAUAUUGGGCAAUGGGCGCAAGCCUGACCCAGCAACGCCGCGUGCAGGAAGAAGGCUUUCGGGUUGUAAACUUCCUUUGACAGGGAAGAGCAGAAGACGGUACCUGCCGAAUAAGCUACGGCUAACUACGUGCCAGCAGCCGCGGUAAUACGUAGGUGGCAAGCGUUGUCCGGAUUUACUGGGUGUAAAGGGCGUGUAGUCGGGCUGACAAGUCAGAUGUGAAACUCGGGGGCUCAACCCCCGAACUGCAUUUGAAACUGUUGGUCUUGAGUAUCGGUGAGGCAGGCGGAAUUCCUAGUGUAGCGGUGAAAUGCGUAGAUAUUAGGAGGAACACCGGUGGCGAAGGCGGGCUGCUGGACGACAACUGACGGUGAGGCGCGAAAGCGCGGGGAGCAAACAGGAUUAGAUACCCGGGUAGUC
rnacentral:rRNA from 1 species